rfam:Myotis brandtii contig179073, whole genome shotgun sequence.
CUCGGGGCAGGGGGGGUCCCUCAGCCCAGAUUGCAAGAGGACGCAGUCCAGGCCGAGGGACCCCAUCAGUGCACA